rnacentral:rRNA from 1 species
UACGGAGGGUGCAAGCGUUGUUCGGAAUCACUGGGCGUAAAGCGCACGUAGGCGGUCUGUUAUGUCGGAUGUGAAAGCCCUUGGCUUAACUGAGGAAGUGCAUCCGAAACUGGCAGGCUAGAGUACUAAAGAGGGUCGCGGAAUUCCCGGUGUAGAGGUGAAAUUCGUAGAUAUCGGGAGGAACACCGGUGGCGAAGGCGGCGACCUGGGUAGAUACUGACGCUGAGGUGCGAAAGCGUGGGGAGCAAACAGG